CCAAUGUUAAUAGUGAAAAUACUGCGAAAAACACACCUCUUCAUUUAGCUGCUCAGAAUGGUUAUAGGAGUAUCGCUAAGCUUCUCAUCGAUAAAGGAGCCAAUACUCUCAUUAAAAAUAAUGCGAAUCAGACGCCUCUUCAAGUAGCUGUUAACAAUGGUCACAAUGAAGUCGUCAGACUUUUUAUCGGUAAAGGAAACAAAAUUAAUAUUGCAGAGCAUUUUGAAUAGAUUCAAUUGUCUACUAACAAUGGU